UACGUAGGGUGCAAGCGUUGUCCGGAAUUAUUGGGCGUAAAGAGCUCGUAGGCGGUUUGUCGCGUCGGCUGUGAAAACUCGGGGCUCAACCCCGAGCCUGCAGUCGAUACGGGCAGACUAGAGUGCUGUAGGGGAGACUGGAAUUCCUGGUGUAGCGGUGAAAUGCGCAGAUAUCAGGAAGAACACCGGUGGCGAAGGCGGCAUCCUGGACCGGUAUUGACGCUGAUGCGCGAAAGCGUGGGGAGCAAACAGG
rnacentral:rRNA from 1 species